rnacentral:rRNA from 1 species
UAAACUGAAGAGUUUGAUCAUGGCUCAGAUUGAACGCUGGCGGCAGGCUUAACACAUGCAAGUCGAGCGGGGAAAGGUAGCUUGCUACUGGACCUAGCGGCGGACGGGUGAGUAAUGCUUAGGAAUCUGCCUAUUAGUGGGGGACAACGUUCCGAAAGGAACGCUAAUACCGCAUACGUCCUACGGGAGAAAGCAGGGGACCUUCGGGCCUUGCGCUAAUA